rnacentral:lncRNA from 1 species
UCACUCUAGACAUGAGUUUUUUAUGUAUCUCAAUAAUCCUUUUGAAAUUGUUUACAGUUCAUGGUUUUGGCCACCCAACUUCAAACUAAUUGACUAGACAAAGUUGAAAGAAGUUUGCUUCCUCUUUUGACCAAUGUUUUAUAACUUAUUCUCGGGAUAAUAGUGACCCUGCCACUUUUCAUGAGUGUGUGACCUAUGUCUCAAACAUUCCUUUUAAAAUAUGUUUACUGUCCAUGGAUUUGACCCCAAAACUUUAAACAAUUGGCCAGACGAAAGUUGAAAGAAGUUCUGGGGCCAUAGUCCAUGGAUUGUAAAUAUAUUUUUGGCUACAUUUUAUGUAGAUGGGUUGUUCUUUGUCCCUUGCAUCGUUUACAUUAGAGAAAACUUUAUUGGAAAAAGGCUUAAUUAACAAGAUAUGAAAUUUCUUUGUAAGUAAUUUGUUACAUAAUGCUAUGAUUGCUGCAUUUCUACAAAAUAACAGUCACUAUUAGUGAUAAUCAUAGAAGUGUAAAGUUUAUAUACUCGACGGUGACGGUAGGCUGAAAGCUUGGUUCUCUUUGAAGGGUUAUGUUGAAAGCUUGGUUUCAACUUCUUGAAAGUAAGUUCACUUUCCUUUUGUGUUUUUGUUCUUUUUAUGUGUUUUGCUGCUUCACUUUCUUGUCUAACAUGAAUCCUUUUGAAUUUUAGAUCCACAAAUUCAACUUUGAUCAAGCCACACAUUGUUGAUGGUACAUAUCAUGAAAAGGGGCUUAUUUGAGCUACAUUCUCUUCAGUCGUAGUAUUUGUUCUAAUGGUUGUUCAGGUCCUUGGUCCUUUGAUUUAAAAUGGCAAGGAGGUUAUGUUUUGGUUAUUAGCUGGUAUGUCUAUUGAUUAUCAUCCUCCGGUGUGCUUCUUGGAGUUUUCGUUGCUGAUGCUUCGUGUCUGAGAGCCUGCGAUUUUGGGUUCUUGUUUUAGUUUGUGCAGCAGCUUUAUCUACUUACCUUGUGAAUUUAUAUCUUGGACUUCCGUUGUAUCAAUAACUCAUUAACACCUUUCAUGGAAAUCAUCACUAUUUUUAAAUCAUGGUUUUGUGUAGUAUCCAUAAGGAUACCAAAUACUCACAUUUCCAAUCAUGGUUUUUGUGUAGGCCUGAAAUUUGUACACAUUAUUUAAAUAUAAAGAACACAAGUGAUGAUGAUGAUGGACUAGCUCCAUUGGAAGCCAAUACUAAUUAUAGGAUGAGAUCUGUUGAGUUGCAGGUAGAUAAAGAUUAGAAUCCAAUUCAGAUACAGAUGAAUAUCUCUGUGUGCUAAUUAUCUUUAGUAUUUACAUCAUAAUUACAUGUUUGAACUCUACUAAAAACAGGAUGAAUUGAGUUUGCAUUAACUUGUCAAACUUUUUUUUUAUCAAUUUAAGUGAUACUAAUAACUAGUAUUUUAC